GUUGUUCAGGAGCCGAUCAUAGAACUGAUUAAUGGAAAUCCUAAGGCUGGCUGGAAAGCGGACAUGAAUCCUAAAUUUUAUAAUUUCACAGUUAGCCAAUUUAAGCGUCUUCUUGGUGUGAAACCUACACCUGCACAUGCUUUUAGGGGAAUUCCAAUUG